UUGAAUGCUGGCGGCAGGCCUAACACAUGCAAGUCGAGCGGAUGAAGGGAGCUUGCUCCUGGAUUCAGCGGCGGACGGGUGAGUAAUGCCUAGGAAUCUGCCUGGUAGUGGGGGAUAACGUCCGGAAACGGGCGCUAAUACCGCAUACGUCCUGAGGGAGAAAGUGGGGGAUCUUCGGACCUCACGCUAUCAGAUGAGCCUAGGUCGGAUUAGCUAGUUGGUGGGGUAAAGGCCUACCAAGGCGACGAUCCGUAACUGGUCUGAGAGGAUGAUCAGUCACACUGGAACUGAGACACGGUCCAGACUCCUACGGGAGGCAGCAGUGGGGAAUAUUGGACAAUGGGCGAAAGCCUGAUCCAGCCAUGCCGCGUGUGUGAAGAAGGUCUUCGGAUUGUAAAGCACUUUAAGUUGGGAGGAAGGGCAGUAAGUUAAUACCUUGCUGUUUUGACGUUACCAACAGAAUAAGCACCGGCUAACUUCGUG
rnacentral:rRNA from 1 species